GACGAACGCUGGCGGCGUGCUUAACACAUGCAAGUCGAACGGAAAGGCCCUGCUUUUGUGGGGUGCUCGAGUGGCGAACGGGUGAGUAACACGUGAGUAACCUGCCCUUGACUUUGGGAUAACUUCAGGAAACUGGGGCUAAUACCGGAUAGGAGCUCCUGCUGCAUGGUGGGGGUUGGAAAGUUUCGGCGGUUGGGGAUGGACUGGCGGCUUAUCAGCUUGUUGGUGGGGUAGUGGCUUACCAAGGCUUUGACGGGUAGCCGGCCUGAGAGGGUGACCGGCCACAAUGGGACUGAGAUACGGACCAGACUCCUACGGGAGGCAGCAGGGGGGAAUAUUGCACAAUGGGCGGAAGCCUGAUGCAGAAACGCCGCGUGCGGGAUGACGGCCUUCGGGGUGUAAACCGCUUUCGCCUGAGACGAAGCGUGAGUGACGGUAAUGGGUAAAGAAGCACCGGCUAACUACGUG
rnacentral:rRNA from 1 species